GAAAUGCGAUAAGUAAUGUGAAUUGCAGAAUUCAGUGAAUCAUCGAAUCUUUGAACGCACAUUGCGCCCCCUGGUAUUCCGGGGGGCAUGCCUGUUCGAGCGUCAUUUCACCACUCAAGCCUCGCUUGGUAUUGGGCAACGCGGUCCGCCGCGUGCCUCAAAUCGACCGGCUGGGUCUUCUGUCCCCUAAGCGUUGUGGAAACUAUUCGCUAAAGGGUGUUCGGGAGGCUACGCCGUAAAACAACCCCAUUUCUAAGGUUGACCUCGGAUCAGGUAGGGAUACCCGCUGAACUUAAGC
rnacentral:misc_RNA from 1 species